UACAGAGGGUGCGAACGUUGCUCGGAAUUACUGGGCGUAAAGCGCGUGUAGGCGGUCUGUUAAGUUGGUAGUGAAAUCCCAUGGCUCAACCAUGGAAGUGCUGCCAAAACUGGCAGGCUGGAGUGCCGGAGAGGGUGGCGGAAUUCCCAGUGUAGAGGUGAAAUUCGUAGAUAUUGGGAGGAACACCGGUGGCGAAGGCGGCCACCUGGACGGUAACUGACGCUAAGGCGCGAAAGCGUGGGGAGCAAACAGG
rnacentral:rRNA from 1 species